rnacentral:rRNA from 1 species
UACGUAGGGCGCAAGCGUUGUCCGGAAUUAUUGGGCGUAAAGAGCUCGUAGGCGGUUUGUCGCGUCUGCUGUGAAAUCCCGAGGCUCAACCUCGGGCUUGCAGUGGGUACGGGCAGACUAGAGUGCGGUAGGGGAGACUGGAAUUCCUGGUGUAGCGGUGGAAUGCGCAGAUAUCAGGAGGAACACCGAUGGCGAAGGCAGGUCUCUGGGCCGCAACUGACGCUGAGGAGCGAAAGCGUGGGGAGCAAACAGG